rnacentral:rRNA from 1 species
UACGUAGGGUGCAAGCGUUAAUCGGAAUUACUAGGUGUAAAGCGUGCGCAGGCGGUUUUGUAAGUCUGACGUGAAAUCCCCGGGCUCAACCUGGGAAUUGCGUUGGAGACUGCAAGGCUGGAGUCUGGCAGAGGGGGGUAGAAUUCCACGUGUAGCAGUGAAAUGCGUAGAGAUGUGGAGGAACACCGAUGGCGAAGGCAGCCCCCUGGGUCAAGACUGACGCUCAUGCACGAAAGCGUGGGGAGCAAACAGG